rnacentral:misc_RNA from 1 species
GAUGAAGAACGUAGCGAAAUGCGAUAAGUAGUGUGAAUUGCAGAAUUCAGUGAAUCAUCGAAUCUUUGAACGCACAUUGCGCCCCUUGGUAUUCCAUGGGGCAUGCCUGUUCGAGCGUCAUUUGUACCUUCAAGCUCUGCUUGGUGUUGGGUGUUUGUCUCGCCUCUGCGUGUAGACUCGCCUUAAAACAAUUGGCAGCCGGCGUAUUGAUUUCGGAGCGCAGUACAUCUCGCGCUUUGCACUCAUAACGACGACGUCCAAAAGUACAUUUUUACACUCUUGACCUCGAAUCAGGUAGGGAUACCCGCUGAACUUAAGCAUAUCAAUAAGCGGAGGA